rnacentral:piRNA from 1 species
UGCCAAACUGUGUGCUCUAGGACGAGCCAUU